AUACGGAGGAUCCGAGCGUUAUCCGGAUUUAUUGGGUUUAAAGGGAGCGUAGGUGGAUUGUUAAGUCAGUUGUGAAAGUUUGCGGCUCAACCGUAAACUUGCAGUUGAAACUGGCAGUCUUAAGUACAGUAGAGGUGGGCGGAAUUCGUGGUGUAGCGGUGAAAUGCUUAGAUAUCACGAAGAACUCCGAUUGCGAAGGCAGCUCACUAGACUGUUACUGACACUGAUGCUCGAAAGUGUGGGUAUCAAACAGGAUUAGAUACCCUGGUAGUCCACACAGUAAACGAUGAAUACUCGCUGUUUGCGAUAUACAGUAAGCGGCCAAGCGAAAGCAUUAAGUAUUCCACCUGGGGAGUACGCCGGCAACGGUGAAACUCAAAUGAAUUGACGGGG
rnacentral:rRNA from 1 species